rnacentral:rRNA from 1 species
UGAACGCUGGCGGCAUGCUUUACACAUGCAAGUCGAACGGUAACAGGGAGCUUGCUCCGCUGACGAGUGGCGAACGGGUGAGUAAUAUAUCGGAACGUACCCAAGAGUGGGGGAUAACGUAGCGAAAGUUACGCUAAUACCGCAUACGAUCUAAGGAUGAAAGCAGGGGAUCGCAAGACCUUGUGCUCCUGGAGCGGCCGAUAUCUGAUUAGCUAGUUGGUAGGGUAAAGGCCUACCAAGGCAUCGAUCAGUAGCUGGUCUGAGAGGACGACCAGCCACACUGGAACUGAGACACGGUCCAGACUCCUACGGGAGGCAGCAGUGGGGAAUUUUGGACAAUGGGCGCAAGCCUGAUCCAGCCAUGCCGCGUGAGUGAUGAAGGCCCUAGGGUUGUAAAGCUCUUUUGUGCGGGAAGAUAAUGACGGUACCGCAAGAAUAAGCCCCGGCUAACUUCGUGCCAGCAGCCGCGGUAAUACGAAGGGGGCUAGCGUUGCUCGGAAUCACUGGGCGUAAAGGGUGCGUAGGCGGGUCUUUAAGUCAGAGGUGAAAUCCUGGAGCUCAACUCCAGAACUGCCUUUGAUACUGAGGGUCUUGAGUUCGGGAGAGGUGAGUGGAACUGCGAGUGUAGAGGUGAAAUUCGUAGAUAUUCGCAAGAACACCAGUGGCGAAGGCGGCUCACUGGCCCGAUACUGACGCUGAGGCACGAAAGCGUGGGG